UCUCUGGUUACUCAUUAGCAUUAUUCUGUCAGAAUGAUUUGAGUGAGUUUAAAUACCUCAUAGUGAGGGAUUUAAGAAAAAAAAAAACUGGAUCAAUUUUGACAGAACUGGGUUAGAGGAGACUAUGCACGCAGUGACGCCAGCAGAUGGGAAGGUGCAGCCAUCUCGCCCAGGAUGGGUGGUUCUCCUACAGCAAAGCUGCAAGCUGCUACAUGUCCCUUUUAACUGUGGGUACAGAGGAAUUUACAAUACUGGGGAAGCAGUUGCAGUCUUUCAAAAUAUGGAAAUUUGAAUCACUGUAGCCUGUGAACUACUCUACAUUUUGUGACACAAGAAAGAACCAAUAAACUGCAUCCUCUGUGCAAACCAGGCUCAGGAACAACAGCAUUUGAUGCUUGGAAGGUGCUGUUGGACUUUUUGAAUUAUCUGAGGAAGGAAGCCGGUUAGAAACCAGUGGCUCUCGCUCCAUCCUUCCCACAAAUAUUACGAUGUUACUCCAGUGUCCCAGGAUCAAUAAUAUCAAAUAAACCUCCUAGACUUUAAGAUGCUUUUGCGGGAGGACGGACGUUGGAGGGCCUUUUAAGCAACGUGAAGCUGGCUUUAAGCGUUAGCUCCAAAUAGGAGCAAAGGCUCGCCGCACUCAAAGCUGCAAUGCCAAUGUAUCUUCAUGGUAAGUAAUACCUAUCGAGGGGAUGCCAAAGCAGGGGUGUGCGCGGAGUUAGAUACUGGAACAAGUUAAUACUGAUAGUCAAUAUCAGUAGACUCUGAUAAUCAACAGAGAUACCGUGGGGCUGGGUGAACAGAAGAAUGGCUGUGCUGGGUCAGGACAAGGAUUCACCCAGCCCAGCAGCUGUCUAUGAUACUUAUCUGACAGGCAGGCAUUCUGGUCAUGAAGGUGGUUUUCAAGAGCGAGCCUCAUAACUGGCACGCCAGGUAGGCUGACUCCUGCAAUUUCCCCAGAUCCAGGGAACUUGACUGUAAAGUUUGUGAUGUGGGAGACUGUUUUUUAUCUUUUCCUGAAUUAAAACAUAUUCCUGCCUCCAAACUACCAGUAAUCUUAAGCAGAUGCCUAGGGAAGAACAUAGGAAAAGGUGAUCUGAUUGACUGAUGUUCCUUGUGAGGAAUUCCACCCAUUUCAUGAGAACUACACCUUUUAGUUCAGUUUGAAUUCUUAUUUGGAGCUUUAUUUGAUAUCCCUCACUCUUGAAUUGGUAGCUGCAGUACAAAAUUGGUGCCAGACUACCCUCUCCAUGACGCUUAGGAUUUUACACACUUCUGCCACAUCCCUCAGUCAUCUGUUUUCCAGACUGUACCAUCCUGAAUUAUUUGAUCGUGUCCUGAAUUAUUUGAUCGUUUCCUGACAUGGAAGCUGUUGCAGACCUCUGACCAUCUGUCCUUGCUCUUUCCCAGUUUUUCUUUAUUAUGAAGUGUGUUCUGAGCCCCAUUUCUUUACUCAGCUUUGGAUCUAACUCUACAUUGUAGGUGG